UAUCUCUGUAGAGUCUGCAUAUCAAUAAGCGGAGGAAAAGAAACUGACUAGGAUUCCCUCAGUAACGGCGAGUGAAGCGGGAAGAGCUCAAAUUUGAAAUCUUCAAGGUUCUACCUUGACGAAUUGUAGUUUAAAGAAGUGUUUUCUGUUGGAGUUUUGGUAAAAGUUCUUUGGAAUAGGACAUCAUAGAGGGUGAGAAUCCCGUAUUUGACCAUUAUUUCCAGCUUUGUGAUACACUUUCAAAGAGUCGGAUUGUUUGGGAAUGCAGUCCAAAAUGGGUGGUAAAUUUCAUCUAAAGCUAAAUAUUGGCGAGAGACCGAUAGCGAACAAGUACCGUGAGGGAAAGAUGAAAAGAACUUUGAAAAGAGAGUUAAACAGUACGUGAAAUUGUCAAAAGGGAAGCGUUUGACACCAGUGUUGUUUCUACGAAAAUCAAUUUAUGAUGGCUUGAUGCUAAGCUUUAAGACUUUAUCCGCUUGUUGUUUAGUUUUCUUGUCUUUGUGAAUGCACUUUUCGUGGAACAAGUCAACAUCAAUUUCUUUUGCUGUAAAAGGGUAAGAGGAAGGUGGCUUCGGCUUCGGUUGAAGUGUUUAUAGCCUUUUAUCUCUGCAGUCGGAGAGAUUGAGGUCUGCAGCGUAGACUCUUCGGGGUUAGAUACGUCGGUGCUAAGCUAUAGCUUUUCAUAGACAACUUGUUGACUAUGUUUAGUCAUGUGGCUUACCCGCUGGCGCUAUUUUACCUACGCUUAGGAUGUUGAGUCAUCACACAUCUCU
rnacentral:rRNA from 1 species